UUUCGAAUCAUUCACAAUGGGCGAAAGCCUGAUGGUGCGACGCCGCGUGAGGGAUGAAGGCCUUCGGGUUGUAAACCUCUGUCACCGGGGAAGAAACGCUUCAAGUUAACAGCUUGAAGCCUGACUUAACCCGGAGAGGAAGCAGUGGCUAACUCUGUGCCAGCAGCCGCGGUAAUACAGAGACUGCAAGCGUUAUUCGGAUUCACUGGGCGUAAAGGGUGCGCAGGCGGCCGGGUGUGUCAGAUGUGAAAUCCCGAGGCUUAACCUCGGAACUGCGUCUGAAACUACUCGGCUAGAGUAUUGGAGAGGGUAACGGAAUUCACGGUGUAGCAGUGAAAUGCGUAGAUAUCGUGAGGAACACCAGAGGCGAAGGCGGUUACCUGGACAAUUACUGACGCUCAGGCACGAAAGCAUGGGGAGCAAAAGGGAUUAGAUACCCCCGUAGUCCCUGAGCGGGCUGGCAAGGCGCAU
rnacentral:rRNA from 1 species